GGGUGACUCCUGAGCGGGUAUGGAGUGGAAGGGGCUGCAGGGGCAGCUGGGCUCUGGUGCUGUGGGAGCUGUGCCCGGGCAGCCACGGCACAAAGGUUACAGCUUUGAACCUGAAGCCCUGUAACCAUGCAGGAGUGAAUGAAAUGCUCAUUUUGGUGCUGCUGAUUCUGGAACAACACUUUCAGCAACCACUAAUAAGAGCAGUGAGAAAUACAUCCCUGCCCUGAUUCUGUCGUCUGCCAUAAGUGGAGCCACAAUCCAGCUGAGCAGUUUUUCCCAAGGGAUCAUAAAAGGCAACAACCUGAAAAAGAAAAUGCAACGCCAAGGAUUUUCCUCCUGUACUUCAAGAAAAUUAAUGGCAAGGACAUAUUUUACAACAUGUAAGAUGACAUAAUACAGCACAGCAAAAGCAACCAACCAUGCAGCAAUCCUAGGGUGUAAGGUGAAGAAAAUUUGGCAGUGGAGUCAGAUAAGACUGAGACAUCAUCUCUUUUUAUUUUUAAUGAUUCAUCUUUCACACAUUUUGCCUGAAAGAGCGGCUCUGAAUAAUUCUGCUUUGGAACGAAGUGGCCUUCCAACGCCAAAAAACGUGAGAGACUUGGACUGAAAACAUGCCCACCACCAAGGCUGGAUCGUGAAUGUUCAGGACUAGCAAAGCUGCUUGAAAAUGUGUCUUUUUUUUUCUCCCAAGUGCUUCCCUGAAAUGGAGCAACUUAAUUUGGUUGCUCUGCAGGAUUAUUUGAUUGUGAGGAUGCUUAGACAUUGAUUCAUCAAACCCAAAUUGCUUACAAGGAAAGGUCACAGGUGCCUACUAGUUCAUAAGACAACUAUUAGCUCUGGUUUAGGGUUGAAAUUGCUAUGGAUUUCUCACAUUUUCAACAACCUGUGCCUUUCCAGGAACUUACCAAAAAAUAAUGAAACCACGACUCAGGAAAAUCACAUUCAUUAUCAUCUGUGCUCGUCCAGGAUAUAAGUCUUGACUGCAGACACUUGUACUUAUAAAAUAUUUCCUAUAUUCUCUAACACUGGCAGAAGAGUUAUGCAUUGUUUCUCCAUCACAUUUCUGGGGGCAAAAAGGCCAUUUUCCUCACCUGCUGCUGUAAACCUCUGAUGGCAGAGGAGUGGGACCUGCUGAGCUCCCACACAUCAGAAUUUUUGAAGGUGUUCCUCGGUGUGUGCAUCCCAGUGUUUAGUACAAUAUAAACCUCGUGUGUGCAAACAAGUUCAUUAAAAUUGCAGGAGCCUGUAGCACAUUUGUAACAGCUUGCCCAAAGGUUAACAUUUAUGGUUUUGCACUGCCAACAUCCUUGCUUUUAUGGGGCACAUUUGUAUGCUAAAUUGCCUAUUAUGUUAAGCUGUAAGUUCCCAUUUAGCAGCAUCAGGAAUAAGAUUUGACUAUAAGUGUUUAGAUUUUAUUAGUGCUGCGCUAGUCUUCUUAACAGCUCAAACUUCCCACAGCCUGAAAAUGUGCUGCAUCCUCUGGAGAGGUUCUUGGGUACCAGAUGUCUUUGGGAACAGCUGACGAUGAGGAGCAUGGGAAGAAAAGAGAGGCACUGAUGGGAAAAAAGGUGCCUUGCUGUGUCUCACCUUCACACGAGUCCUAAAUGUCAUGUUCAAGCAAUGAUUGCAUCUGAAACAAUCCCAGUGACAUCCCCUUCUCCAGCUAACGAGAGCAGAAAGGUCAGCUGAGAGUAUUCCAGGGGGAAGGGUGUUUUACUGCUAGGUAAAUAUGUCCAGUGGCUUUAUUUUUCUGUAGGUUACUUCCCAGUGCAGGACCUAACAGUGCCUGUGAUAUACCAGCCCUGAAAACUGAAUUUCAGCUGGAUAUGCAGCCCUCGAAGGCAACAGAAAUGUAUUUGCUAGUGAAACUGUGUUUUACCCAGACUUCCCUUGCUGCCAGGGAUUCCUCAGGAGAUCCCGGGACUGAGGGACUUAAAAAUGUCACAAAAGCCUUUCAAUUCCAGGUCACCAGAUUGACAGAGCAGGGACCUGAUUUCAGGCAGUGUUUUAAAAACCUUCAUGAGAAUCUACUCACCUUAGCAGUGACUGUAGUCUGCCAGUGGUGACUGACUAUGAAAAGCAACUUGAUAAAAAUAACAGGAGCUCAAGUCUUUAGCCCAGACUUUCUCUGUAAAUUAUAAAAAAAAAAUGGUGUCAGAGAUUUUUAAUCCAUUCCACUGUCAAAAAUGGGAAUAUGAGAGCACAAAGAUGAUACUCUGCUCCUAAGCUUUUCCUACCCUGGUGGAAAAGAGCAUUCAAAGCAGAUGUACUGAUGUCCUUCACAGGCUGACCAGGCCAAGUUUGCAGAUUUAUUUUACAUGGUGGGUGUAAGGAUGAUGGUCUGUGUUUGCAAAUUGUCACAGGACUUGAAAAAUAUUAUCACUGUAAUUAUUAGAACUAGCUAUCCACCCCAGCCACAAGGGGAAAACACAGAAAUGGAACUUCAGGUUGGUCAUACAGAAAAAUAAAUAUUUUCCAUGAUUCACAAAUCAUCUUUUCAUGUAACAGGAUGUUCUUAGAGGCAAGCAAGAAUGAUAAAAGUAACGUAAAACCUUCCAGCACAAUCCACAGCUGGGGAGGGCUGCCUCAGCCACUGAUUAAACGGGACUGCAGAGUUGUGUGUUCUGCAGAACUCAACAUUUUUCAGGGGUUGUAACAGCUGGAGUGAGGAAGGUGCUUUUUUUGUGUAAAAUACAAUAUCAUUUCCAGGAGACAGAGGUCCCAGAUGAAAGGCCUGAGGUCUCUGUAGGAAUCUGUCUGCUGAACACACUGACUUUGUUGUCAGCAAAGGCUGCAACCUCCAGCAAAUGCAGACAGUGCUUUACCUAUUAAGACAAUCCGUAGGGGAGAGAUUCAGGGAAAGUAGCUCAGAAGUUGUUUUAUUUUUUUUAAUGACCUAUUUAAAGUUACAUUUUUCAAAUAAUUUAAGGAGAAGACUUAGUUAAUGCUACUUAAUCAAAGUUCCCUGCAAAUAACUUAAAGGCGACAGGUCAGCAAAGACAUGCUUACUUAAAGACAGUAUUUUAAGAUUUAAAAUGCUAAGAGUCUUACCAAGCCUAAGCUGCUAAAAAUUAUAAUAAAGCAUAAGAGAAGUUCAAACCUUAUUUAUUUCAAGAUCAGAUUUAUUAUUUUUUUCAAGACCUUGCAGGCAGAGAAACAGGCAAGAAUUAACACAGCAACAAUUUCUUUGAAAGCACACAUCUUAUAUACAAAGAUGGAUGGAUGAUGAUUGAUCCCUUCUGUUAUCCAAAAUAUUUGGGAUUUCUGGUCAGUUAUUCUCUAUGGCCUAAAUAAGGUUUUGUGUUUUAGGCAGUUGAUAUUAUUUACUUUGGGCGUUGAUUUUCUUUCUGCAGACAUGGUGUGACAUCUAUAAAUACACUGCAGAGCUCUGCUAUUUCCAAGUUCUUCUUGGUUAUUUUUUAAAUGGCUGUUGCUGUAGUUUGAAAUGAAAAUGGUGACCUUAACAAGCACUAUCAUUAUUAUGCCUUCAAGGGACUUACCCACUCUGCUUCACUCUGAUAUUCAAUGUCUGACUAGCUUGGAGUUCUGGGUCUAUUAUUUUGCUGAAGUCACUAAAGAAAAAGGACUCUGCAUUGUCCUCUGUUGCUUUCUUUGGAUACAUUUCAUAUUAGAAUACUGCACAGCAGGAUUCUGAUUCCAAGCUAGCAAUUGGAAUAGCAUUCUAAUUAGAAUCACAUACCUAGAACUUCACUUUUCAGAGUUGCAUGGUGAAUAAGUAAUUCAAGAACAAACCCAAGUGAUUUUCCACUUUUUAUCAGGCUAAGAGAGUAGUGUGGAGCAUCCAGUGAAAGCAGCACAAACUGAUGGAAGGAGAGAAUGCACUGCUAUAACAUGGGGGGAAAGGAAAAAAAAAAAAACUAAACAGCUAAUGAAAUGGAGCAAACCACAAGUUCAAAAUUCUAAAGACUUGACAUAAGCACUGAUCUAUUACUAGCCUAAAACCAAAAUAUUACUCAGCCUUGCAGCUGGCUGUGAGAGUGACAGGGCCUGAGCAUCCUUUGAUAUCAGAGCACUUUUGGAAUUUUAACAGCUCAGUAAGGGAAGAGCAGGGCUGUAAGAGUGGGAGAUUGCACCACUCUGCAUCCUCCAAAUCAGUGCUAUCCCAGCAAAAAAUAAUCCAGGACACAUUCUGGAUCCAUUUGAAGAUUUGGGAGGCAAAUGUGUCAAGUAUAUUAAGAACAAAGCAGCAAAUCCAGGCAGUUUUUAAAUACCAAGUGAUGUGAUUUAGUUUAGAAUGAAGCAAUCAGUGUUUGGAGAAUGCCUUUAAUAACAUUGUCUCUCCCUCUGGAAAUUACCUAGUCAGUGCAGGAAAUUUCUGUUUGGUUAUUUCUGCAGGUAAACAUUGUAUUUAUUACAUUCAGAAAGCAACAGAAAUUUAGAUGGCUGAGCCUACACAAGCUCCUGUAGCAUUUUCCUUCUCCUUUACAUUUCUAAUAAACAUGAAUUAUAUAUGGAGACAGCCAUGCUUUGUUUAAACUGCUGCACUAAGUACCCCGUGACAGCAGUAAAUCAAUGCUUUGCUUUCUCAUACAUUUGAAUGAAAGUAAUAACUGGAAUAAACAAUUAAUCUGAUGGAUACACAGGAACUCUCUGUAGCUAAGUAGAAGUAGAAGAAUAAUACUCUUCCAUUUUUCAUCCAUUUGUCAUUUGUUGAUGGUCACACUUUAUUGACUUUACAUAUUAUUUGUCUAAUUAUUUGAUUCUCAAAGUUAUUUUGAAUAAUUUAUUCAGUCUUCGCUUAAACUGAUGUCUGAAAUGUAUUUUUUGCUUGAUCUUCAACUAAUAAGCCAAUUAUGAUCAGCUUUAGAAGUUAUUAACCAGACUCCAGUUUCUAUUUUUGCUACCUAAUUAAAUCUAAUGCUCCUGGUACCACAGUGACACAUUGGGCACUUAAUGUGUUAAUGCAAUUUUUUUAAUGGUAGUAUUUCUAUAAUAUAUAUGCAUAUACAUAUAGAUGAGAUAAUGAAAAAAAAAUAUUUAUAAAUACUAAUGGCUACUUGCUUUUUAACUUGAAAGACCAGCAUGAGCUCCAGUUGGGCUUUAAGGUUGUUUGGAUGUGUCAGGAGACAAAAUGGAAGUGAAAUUGUUCAGAGGAGCUCUCAUUGAGCUUCUGCUACCUGGUGCCCUGGAGGUGCCAUGGAUAUUAUUAAAUUAAUGAGGAAAUAAGGGUGGGUGCACAGCGACAUUCCCUGGACAAGCAGGAAACAUUGGAUAAUAAAUUCACACAGCUUGCUCCAUUUUUCUCCUGAUUUUCCAUUUUUUCCUGAUUUUAGAAAUGGAGGAAUUCAAACCACUUACACGAGAGAAAUAAACACUUCAUGGAAUGUUCUGGUCUGGUCUGCCUGUGUUUGCUAGGUGAAAUCAAGGAACAAACAAAAUUCUCUCUUUGUAGGACUUUUACCCACCAUACUUGCUGAAGUUCUUGGGUUUGUUCAUUAAAUGCAGAGAUAUUUCAUUUAAAGAAGAAAUUUCUGGAAUGUUUCUGAUUGAGAUUGGCCUUGCCAAUUUCUGAUUGAGAUUGACCUACACAGACUUGCCUGUUACUCACCCAGACAUUAAAUGGAGUCAGUUAAUAACUUUGUCCCAGACUAAUUAAUAGUUUACCAUGAGUAAAGGGCAUGAGCAAGCAAGCAAGACCAGGACCUUACAUGUAGGGAGAAAAAUGAGGUAUUUCCUCCCCCCAUGAAGCUUCAUCCCAUUUUCACAUUGAGAAUAUCAAUCCAUACUCACAUAGCUG